rnacentral:rRNA from 1 species
CAGGCCUAACACAUGCAAGUCGAACGAUGAUCAGGAGCUUGCUCCUGUGAUUAGUGGCGAACGGGUGAGUAACACGUGAGUAACCUGCCCCUGACUCUGGGAUAAGCGUUGGAAACGACGUCUAAUACUGGAUACGACUGCCGGCCGCAUGGUCUGGUGGUGGAAAGAUUUUUUGGUUGGGGAUGGACUCGCGGCCUAUCAGCUUGUUGGUGAGGUAAUGGCUCACCAAGGCGACGACGGGUAGCCGGCCUGAGAGGGUGACCGGCCACACUGGGACUGAGACACGGCCCAGACUCCUACGGGAGGCAGCAGUGGGGAAUAUUGCACAAUGGGCGCAAGCCUGAUGCAGCCAUGCCGCGUGUAUGAAGAAGGCCUUCGGGUUGUAAAGUACUUUCAGCGGGGAGGAAGGCGAUAAGGUUAAUAACCUUGUCGAUUGACGUUACCCGCAGAAGAGGCACCGACUAACUCCGUGCCAGCAGCCGCGGUAAU